GCUCGAAAUUUCAAAUAAUAUUUUGCAAUUCUAGAUUCCCCUUAUUACGUUUUCGUAGUGCUUUCCAUUGUGGUUAUAGUGGUAUCACAGAUAUUCAAUGGCUUAUUUUUUGUCCUGACCCGUGCAAUAACUUUUUAAAAAGCUAGGGUCGGGUGCGCGAUAGCCAACAGCAAAAUAUUCGCGAAAACAUUCAAUAUUUUCAUUCGAGGCCGCUAUCUUUAUCAGUGAUACCACUAUAACCACAAUGGAAAGCGCUACGAAAACGUAAUAAGGCCACAUAAAAAAAAAUUACUUGUUUAGCGUCCCCGCCCGACCUGAUAAAAGUCCCCGACCUCCAUUUUUUUUAUUUUUUUUUUAAAUCCGUCCGAGUUUAGUGCAAAAACUAAAUAAAAAAGACCGUUUUACUUGAAAAAAUGGUGAUUUUAUUCUUCUGGGAGCUAUGUAAUACGUUUACUCCUUCCUCGCAGCUAAAGUGUUCGCGCGUGACCGCCAAACGGUAAUCAUUUCUGUUUUAUUAAAAACAUGAACGGUAUUAAAAAACAUGAACGGAUUUUGAAAGAAUUAAAGUGAGUUUUGACUGUGGUAAUAUACUGGAUUUCCUGCAUUUAGCAGAAUUUUGUGUUGCAUUUUACGAAAAAAAAAAAAAAAAAUCCGCCCGCCCGACCUAGGAAAAUUAAAAUGGGUGGACGCUAAACAAGUAAUUUUUUUUAUG